AUUGCACACCUGGGCCUUGAAUUAUUCCCUUUGGCUGAGUUGAAAGAAGGAGCAUGAGAGAGUAGGUCCUUGAUUUUUCUGAGAUGCACAUGCCUUCCCUUCUACGCUGACGACCCAUCUCUCAACUGGAGGAGAACAAACCUUGAAUGGAGUGAGGCCUGGAUUUUGUGCCAGCUCUUAAAGUUGCUUUGCAGCCACAUCCCUGAUCAGACAUCAGAGCCCACUUGGAGCAAGUUCUUGGGGUGCUUUAAAUGGCACUGUCAAGGUUUGCCUCUCAAUGGAGACAAGGGAAGCCUUAAGAGUGGAUGACCUAGUGUCCA